rnacentral:rRNA from 1 species
AGGGGCGCAGCAGUGGGGAAUUUUGCGCAAUGGGGGGAACCUUGACGCAGCGACGCCGCGUGGGUGAUGAAGGCCUUCGGGUUGUAAAGCCCUGUUGGGGGGGAAGAUAAUGACGGUACCCCCUGAGGAAGCCCCGGCUAACUACGUGCCAGCAGCCGCGGUAAGACGUAGGGGGCGAGCGUUGUCCGGAAUUACUGGGCGUAAAGGGCGUGUAGGCGGCUUUUCAAGUCGGCUGUGAAAUUCCCCGGCUUAACCGGGGGGGUGCAGUCGAAACUGAAGGGCUUGAGUGCAGGAGAGGGUGGUGAAAUUCCCGGUGUAGCGGUGACAUGCGUAGAUAUCGGGAGGAACACCGGUGGCGAAGGCGACCUCCUGGCCUGUUACUGACGCUGAGGCGCUAAAGCUGGGGGAGCAAACAGGAUUAGAUACCCUGGUAGUCCCAGCUGUAAACUCUGGGUACUAGGUGUGGGGGGCUUCGAUGCCCUCUGUGCCGUAGUUAACGCAUUAAGUACCCCGCCUGGGGAGUGCGAUCGCAAGGUUGAAACUCAAAGGAAUUGGCGGGGGAGCACA